rnacentral:lncRNA from 1 species
GGCACUGGCUCAGGAGUGUCAGCUUGUCAGCCCCCUGCUCUUAAAGCUCCCAAGUGGGGGCCGGACAUCCUACCAGCCGUCCUCGCCCAACCGCCUCUCCAAGGAAACCAACCUGAAGAAUUUCAACAAUCUGUAUGGCACAAAAGGUAACUAUACUUCCAGGGUCUGGGAGUACUCGUCCACUGUUCAGAACGCCGAUGACAUGCCCACUGUGCAAGGCAACUCCUCCUUCUCCCUGAAAGGCUAUCCCUCCCUCCUCCGGAGCCAUCCCCCAUUGCUUGGAAGAGCAGUUCCCCGGAUGUGCCACAAUCCACUCAUGAAGAUUUGCCCGUAGACUUGCACUAAUGUGGGAAUUUGGUGCUCUUUGAGGUAAUGGCCAGCAGGAGGGCUGGGAAGAGUGGUGUCACUUAAGAGGUACCACCCGGAUUGGGAGAGUCGGCCUCCAUCCAUGUCACAUGUCACCGGGCUUGGAGAGGGCCAAAUCAGGAACAACACUGAGUGCUGGGAGCUUGUCUCCCACUCCAGGCUGAUGGGGGCUCAUGGGUCAGCUUGCAGGGGUGGGGAGGGGUACUUUUGGCUUGGGCUUCCCCCUCCCUGAAUAAACCAUUUGUCUCUUU